rnacentral:rRNA from 1 species
ACGUGGCGGGAUGACCAUCACAUGCAAGUCGAGCGAUGAAACCCCUUCGGGGGUGGAUUAGCGGCGGACGGGUGAGUAACACGUGGGUAACCUGCCUCAAAGUGGGGGAUAGCCUUCCGAAAGGAAGAUUAAUACCGCAUAAAGCCAAGUUUCACAUGGAAUUUGGAUGAAAGGAGUAAUUCGCUUUGAGAUGGACCCGCGGCGCAUUAGUUAGUUGGUGGGGUAAUGGCCUACCAAGACAGCGAUGCGUAGCCGACCUGAGAGGGUGAUCGGCCACAUUGGAACUGAGAUACGGUCCAGACUCCUACGGGAGGCAGCAGUGGGGAAUAUUGCACAAUGGGCGAAAGCCUGAUGCAGCAACGCCGCGUGAGUGAUGAAGGUCUUCGGAUUGUAAAGCUCUGUCUUUUGGGACGAUAAUGACGGUACCAAAGGAGGAAGCCACGGCUAACUACGUGCCAGCAGCCGCGGUAAUACGUAGGUGGCGAGCGUUGUCCGGAUUUACUGGGCGUAAAGGGUGCGUAGGCGGAUGUUUAAGUGAGAUGUGAAAUACCCGGGCUUAACUUGGGUGCUGCAUUUCAAACUGGAUAUCUAGAGUGCAGGAGAGGAGAAUGGAAUUCCUAGUGUAGCGGUGAAAUGCGUAGAGAUUAGGAAGAACACCAGUGGCGAAGGCGAUUCUCUGGACUGUAACUGACGCUGAGGCACGAAAGCGUGGGUAGCAAACAGGAUUAGAUACCCUGGUAGUCCACGCCGUAAACGAUGAGUACUAGGUGUAGGAGGUAUCGACCCCUUCUGUGCCGCAGUAAACACAUUAAGUACUCCGCCUGGGAAGUACGAUCGCAAGAUUAAAACUCAAAGGAAUUGACGGGGGCCCGCACAAGCAGCGGAGCAUGUGGUUUAAUUCGAAGCAACGCGAAGAACCUUACCUGGACUUGACAUCCCCUGAAUAACCUAGAGAUAGGCGAAGCCCUUCGGGGCAGGAGACAGGUGGUGCAUGGUUGUCGUCAGCUCGUGUCGUGAGAUGUUAGGUUAAGUCCUGCAACGAGCGCAACCCUUAUUGUAGUUGCUAACAUUCAGUUGAGCACUCUAACGAGACUGCCGCGGUUAACGC